AUGGAUUCACAGGCCCAGGUCCUCAUGUUGCUGCUGCUAUCGGUAUCUGGUACCUGUGGAGACAUUUUGAUGACCCAGUCUCCAUCCUCCCUGACUGUGUCAGCAGGAGAGAAGGUCACUAUGAGCUGCAAGUCCAGUCAGAGUCUUUUAGCUAGUGGCAACCAAAAUAACUACUUGGCCUGGCACCAGCAGAAACCAGGACGAUCUCCUAAAAUGCUGAUAAUUUGGGCAUCCACUAGGGUAUCUGGAGUCCCUGAUCGCUUCAUAGGCAGUGGAUCUGGGACGGAUUUCACUCUGACCAUCAACAGUGUGCAGGCUGAAGAUCUGGCUGUUUAUUACUGUCAGCAGUCCUACAGCGCUCCUAC